GGCCAGCUAGCUCAGUUGGUUAGAGUAUGGUGCUGACACCACCAAAGUUCAAGGUUCAAUCCCUACGCUGGCCA